rnacentral:rRNA from 1 species
GACGAACGCUGGCGGCGUGCCUAAUACAUGCAAGUAGAACGCUGAAGGAGGAGCUUGCUUCUCUGGAUGAGUUGCGAACGGGUGAGUAACGCGUAGGUAACCUGCCUGGUAGCGGGGGAUAACUAUUGGAAACGAUAGCUAAUACCGCAUAAUAGCAGUUGUUGCAUGACAACUGUUUGAAAGGUGCAAUUGCACCACUACCAGAUGGACCUGCGUUGUAUUAGCUAGUUGGUGGGGUAACGGCUCACCAAGGCGACGAUACAUAGCCGACCUGAGAGGGUGGUCGGCCACACUGGGACUGAGACACGGCCCAGACUCCUACGGGAGGCAGCAGUAGGGAAUCUUCGGCAAUGGGCGGAAGUCUGACCGAGCAACGCCGCGUGAGUGAAGAAGGUUGUCGGAUCGUAAAGGUCUGUUGUAAGGGAAGAACGAGUGUGAGAGUGGAAAGUUCACACUGUGACGGUAUCUUACCAGAAAGGGACGGCUAACUACGUG